GACGAACGCUGGCGGCGUGCUUAACACAUGCAAGUCGAACGGAAAGGCCCUGCUUUUGUGGGGUGCUCGAGUGGCGAACGGGUGAGUAACACGUGAGUAACCUGCCCUUGACUUUGGGAUGACUUCAGGAAACUGGGGCUAAUACCGGAUAGGAGCUCCUGCUGCAUGGUGGGGGUUGGAAAGUUUCGGCGGUUGGGGAUGGACUCGCGGCUUAUCAGCUUGUUGGUGGGGUAGUGGCUUACCAAGGCUUUGACGGGUAGCCGGCCUGAGAGGGUGACCGGCCACAUUGGGACUGAGAUACGGCCCAGACUCCUACGGGAGGCAGCAGUGGGGAAUAUUGCACAAUGGGCGGAAGCCUGAUGCAGCAACGCCGCGUGCGGGAUGACGGCCUUCGGGUUGUAAACCGCUUUCGCCUGUGACGAAGCGUGAGUGACGGUAAUGGGUAAAGAAGCACCGGCUAACUACGUGCCAGCAGCCGCGGUGAUACGUAGGGUGCGAGCGUUGUCCGGAUUUAUUGGGCGUAAAGGGCUCGUAGGUGGUUGAUCGCGUCGGAAGUGUAAUCUUGGGGCUUAACCCUGAGCGUGCUUUCGAUACGGGUUGACUUGAGGAAGGUAGGGGAGAAUGGAAUUCCUGGUGGAGCGGUGGAAUGCGCAGAUAUCAGGAGGAACACCAGUGGCGAAGGCGGCUCUCUGGGCCUUUCCUGACGCUGAGGAGCGAAAGCGUGGGGAGCGAACAGGCUUAGAUACCCUGGUAGUCCACGCUGUAAACGGUGGGUACUAGGUGUGGGGUCCAUUCCACGGGUUCCGUGCCGUAGCUAACGCUUUAAGUACCCCGCCUGGGGAGUACGGCCGCAAGGCUAAAACUCAAAGGAAUUGACGGGGCCCCGCACAAGCGGCGGAGCAUGCGGAUUAAUUCGAUGCAACGCGUAGAACCUUACCUGGGUUUGACAUGGAUCGGGAGUGCUCAGAGAUGGGUGUGCCUCUUUUGGGGUCGGUUCACAGGUGGUGCAUGGCUGUCGUCAGCUCGUGUCGUGAGAUGUUGGGUUAAGUCCCGCAACGAGCGCAACCCUUGUUCACUGUUGCCAGCACGUUAUGGUGGGGACUCAGUGGAGACCGCCGGGGUCAACUCGGAGGAAGGUGGGGAUGACGUCAAGUCAUCAUGCCCCUUAUGUCCAGGGCUUCACGCAUGCUACAAUGGCUGGUACAGAGAGUGGCGAGCCUGUGAGGGUGAGCGAAUCUCGGAAAGCCGGUCUCAGUUCGGAUUGGGGUCUGCAACUCGACCUCAUGAAGUCGGAGUCGCUAGUAAUCGCAGAUCAGCAACGCUGCGGUGAAUACGUUCCCGGGGCU
rnacentral:rRNA from 1 species